UGGGGAAUUUUGGACAAUGGGGGAAACCCUGAUCCAGCCAUCCCGCGUGUGCGAUGAAGGCCUUCGGGUUGUAAAGCACUUUUGGCAGGAAAGAAACGUCGCGGGUUAAUACCCCCGCNAAACUGACGGUACCUGCAGAAUAAGCACCGGCUAACUACGUGCCAGCAGCCGCGGUAAUACGUAGGGUGCAAGCGUUAAUCGGAAUUACUGGGCGUAAAGCGUGCGCAGGCGGUUCGGAAAGAAAGAUGUGAAAUCCCAGAGCUUAACUUUGGAACUGCAUUUUUAACUACCGGGCUAGAGUGUGUCAGAGGGAGGUGGAAUUCCGCGUGUAGCAGUGAAAUGCGUAGAUAUGCGGAGGAACACCGAUGGCGAAGGCAGCCUCCUGGGAUAACACUGACGCUCAUGCACGAAAGCGUGGGGAGCAAACAGGAUUAGAUACCCUGGUAGUCC
rnacentral:rRNA from 1 species